rnacentral:rRNA from 1 species
CUACGGGACGCAGCAGUGGGGAAUAUUGCACAAUGGAGGAAACUCUGAUGCAGCAACGCCGCGUGGAGGAUGACACUUUUCGGAGCGUAAACUCCUUUUAUAUAGGAAGAAGAUGACGGUACUAUAUGAAUGAGCGCCGGCUAACUCCGUGCCAGCAGCCGCGGUAAUACGGAGGGCGCAAGCGUUACUCGGAAUCACUGGGCGUAAAGAGCGUGUAGGCGGAUUAAAAAGUCAGAAGUGAAAUCCUAUAGCUUAACUAUAGAACUGCUUCUGAAACUCUUAAUCUAGAAUAUGGGAGAGGUAGAUGGAAUUUCUGGUGUAGGGGUAAAAUCCGUAGAGAUCAGAAGGAAUACCGAUUGCGAAGGCGAUCUACUAGAACAUUAUUGACGCUGAGACGCGAAAGCGUGGGGAGCAAACAGGAUUAGAUACCCUCGUAGUC